UACGGAGGGUGCAAGCGUUAUCCGGAUUCACUGGGCUUACAGGGUGCGUAGGCGGCUUGUCAAGUAGGGUGUGAAAGCCCCCGGCUCGACCGGGGAAUUGCGCCCUAAACUGGCGAGCUAGAGUGAGAUAGGGGUGUGUGGAACUUCCGGUGGAGCGGUGAAAUGUGUUGAUAUCGGAAGGAACGCCGGUGGCGAAAGCGACACACUGGAUCUUGUCUGACGCUGAGGCACGAAAGCCAGGGGAGCGAACGGG
rnacentral:rRNA from 1 species